rnacentral:rRNA from 1 species
UCGCCCUUCGGGGUGCCCAGGCGCGAAAUCUUUACAAUGUUGGCAACAGCGAUGGGGGGACCUCGAGUGCCAGGUUACAAAUCUGGCUGUCCUUGUGUCUAAAAAACAGUAUAUAUCAAGGGCCGGGCAAAACCGGUGCCAGCCGCCGCGGUAACACCGGCGGCUCGAGUGGUAACCGUUAUUAUUGGGUUUAAAGGGUCUGUAGCCGGCCUGGUUAGUCCUUUGGGAAAUCCGGCAGCUCAACUGUCGGGCUUUCAGAAGAUACUGCCAGGCUCGAGACCGGGAGAGGUAAGAGGUACUUCAGGGGUAGGGGUGAAAUCUUGUAAUCCUUGAAGGACCACCAGUGGCGAAGGCGUCUUACCAGAACGGAUCUGACGGCAAGGGACGAAAGCUAGGGGCACGAACCGGAUUAGAUACCCGGGUAGUCCUAGCCGUAAACGAUACUCGCUAGGUGUCGGCCACGGUGCGACCGUGGUCGGUGCCGUAGGGAAACCGUGAAGCGAGCCACCUGGGAAGUACGGCCGCAAGGCUGAAACUUAAAGGAAUUGGCGGGGGAGCAC